GACCUCAUAGCUCAGUGGUAGAGCGUGUGAUUCCAGGUAUGGUUAUUCCACAAGGUCGUCCGUUCAAUCCGGGCUGAGGUCA